rnacentral:rRNA from 1 species
GAAACGGUUGCUAAGACUAGAUACGAAACAAAAAGGCAUCUUUUUGUUUUUAAAAGACCUUCUUAUGAAGGUAUGCUUAAAGAGGGGCUCUCGCCACAUUAGUUAAUUGGUAGGGUAAAAGCCUACCAAGACGAUGAUGUGUAGCUGGACUGAGAGGUUGAACAACCACAUUGGGACUGAGACUCGGCCCAAACUCCUACGGGAGGCAGCAGUAGGUAAUUUUCGGCAAUGGAGGAAACUCUGACCGAGCAACGCCGCGUGAACGAUGAAGUAUUUCGGUAUGUAAAGUUCUUUUAUUGAAGAAGAAAAAGUAGUGGAAAAACUAUAUUCACGUUAUUCAAUGAAUAAGCCCCGGCUAACUAUGUGCCAGCAGCCGCGGUAAGACAUAAGGGGCUAGCGUUAUCCGGAAUUAUUGGGCGUAAAGGGUGCGUAGGCUGUUAGAUAAGUCUAUAAUUUAAUUUCAGUGCUUAACGCUGUCUUGUUAUACAACCUGUCUUGACUAGGGUGAGAUAGAGGCAAGCGGAAUUCCAUGUGUAGCGGUAAAAUGUGUAAAUAUAUGGAGGAACACCAGAAGCGUAGGCGGCCUGCUGGGUCUUUACUGACGCUAAGGCACGAAAGCGUGGGUAGCAAACAGGAUUAGAUACCCUGGUAGUCCACGCCGUAAACGAUGAGUACUAAGUGUCGGGGUAAAACUCGGUACUGAAGUUAACACAUUAAGUACUCCGCCUGAGUAGUACGUACGCAAGUAUGAAACUUAAAGGAAUUGACGGGACUCCGCACAAGCGGUGGAUCAUGUUGUUUAAUCCGAAGA